rnacentral:lncRNA from 1 species
CAUUCCGUAUUUUUAUUAUACGUGUAGUAGCUUGCCACUUGUCUGCCCAGCUAGAGAUACGGUUUAAAUCAUCGUUCAGGCAGGAUGCGGCAGUAUCGUGAUCAUCUACAAUUACGUCACGUGA